rnacentral:rRNA from 1 species
AUUGAACGCUGGCGGCAGACCUAACACAUGCAAGUCGAACGAGUGGCGGACGGGUGAGUAAUGUCUGUGAAACUGCCCGAUGGAUGGGGAUAACUACUGGAAACGGUAGCUAAUACCGCAUACCAUCGGAUGUUCCCAGAUGGGAUUAGCGCGUAGGUGGGGUAACGGCGCACCUAGGCGACGAUCCCUAGCUGGUCUGAGAGGAUGACCAGGCACACUGGAACUGAGACACGGUCCAGACGCCUAAGGGAGGCAGCAGUGGGGGAUAUUGCACAAUGGGCGCAAGCCUGAUGCAGCCAUGGCGCGGGUAUGGAGAAGGCCUUCGGGUUGUAAAGUUCUUUCAGCGAGGAGGCGGUAGUCGCAGAAGAAGCACCGGCUAACUCCGUGCCAGCAGCCGCGGUAAUUC